UACGUAGGGUGCAAGCGUUAAUCGGAAUUACUGGGCGUAAAGCGUGCGCAGGCGGUUCGCUAAGACAGAUGUGAAAUCCCCGGGCUUAACCUGGGAACUGCAUUUGUGACUGGCGGGCUAGAGUAUGGCAGAGGGGGGGUAGAAUUCCACGUGUAGCAGUGAAAUGCGUAGAGAUGUGGAGGAAUACCGAUGGCGGAAGGCAG
rnacentral:rRNA from 1 species